GGCGCACCUGCGAGCCCUCCCCGCAGCGGCGGCUCCGUUCCCGGCUCUCGGGGCCGCCGGGCUCGGAGCCCCGCCGAGGCGCUGUCCCCUCCAGCCGUCCCGUCCCGUCCCACAGCCCCGGGACAAACAUCGGUCCGGCCCCUGGCAACACCUGGGGACGAGGAACCUGGCCCUGCAGGUCUGACCACAGAAAGCAGGUGAGCAAGAUGGGAAGAGGUUUGUAGGAUUUCUAUGCUCGAGCUCUAUACCAUCACCAGCCUCUUCUAACCACAGUCAAUGCAAAAGGAAAUGCUAAACAUCACAAAAGGAUUUAAACAGGGGUGUUGUUUCUAAUCAAUACCCCAAGGUGAAAAGAACAGUGUGGAGGAGCCCCAAUUGGUAGAGAAGAAUCAAACCAGCAAAGGGAGAGAUGCAAAACUUGGAGAAAACUGAGAAAUUCAGGGAAAAGGAAAACACAAAAAAGCCAGAAAGCAGACUGAAUCAGCCCUCUGAGGGAGGAGAUGAGCGCUGGAGCUGGCACAAAAGAAAUCUGGAGACUGUCUAGUUGGGAGUAGGAUACUGGGGGCAGAUGAAGAGCAUGCAUGGAAGUGCUUUGCAAUAAUAACAGGUUGUUACAUUGGUGUAGCUAAGAUUAAAAAUAAAGAAUACAUGAUAAGGAAACUGCAGUUGAACUUUUUAUGAUGACAAAGAGUUAUGAGCAAAAGCUUAUAUUUUGGGGGGUAUCAACUCAGAAAAACACAGUUUUACUGGAUCCAGUUUUAUUCUGUAAAUGUAAUAUAAAAAUCAGGAGAAAAGGUUCUUGUGUCUUUGUGUAUAAAAUCUUAAAUUAUUUGUUAAGUUGCAGCUACCAGAAAUUUCAGAGUUCAAGACUUUUGUGUACCCAGUAUCAGAAUUUAAAACUGCUGACUACAGAAGGUGUUUUCAAACCUUAACAAAGCUUUCUGGAUUUUGAACACAAGCUAUUGUGGCUGUGUUUAGAAAGCUUCUUUACACUGUAUUUAUGGUGGCCAAGAAGUCUCUCAGUUCAAACUGCAGAGGGUUUGGAGCCCACCCUGGUCUGAAAUGAACAGGAACCCACUGAGCUGUACUACUCAGUUGCCUGCAAUCACCUCUCUCUCUCUUAAGCCACUUAGCAACUACGAUUUACAGACAGAUCUUUCUGGCCAUUCUGAUUAUCUUUUACCCUUUCACAUUCUGCCCUUAUUCACUUCUGAUGCAUUUAUGAUUCCUCCUUGCUGUUCCUUCUAAAUUUCCUUCCUCCUUCAUCUACCUGAUAAUGUGUGCCCAAGGAAUACAUGCAGCUCACUUUGGGAAGUGUAAACAUUCCAGGUCAGCUUCUCUUAAGAGAUGAUGCAAAGCAUCACAGUUAACUUCCUGUAUAUUCAUUCUGGGGCAGCUCAAUCAAUUCAUGCUUUCCAUGAUUGCCAUUGUGGUGGUUCCUUACACAGCUUUGAGGAGCUGUAAUGUGGGCUUUACACCUGCAAACACAGAUUUUCAGUAAAACUGUCACUCCUCUCCUGUUUAUCAUUUGUCAUUGACAACAGAAGAGUGAACAAUGUUUCAGCUAAGAUUUAGUUGCUUUACAACACAGCAGCUGGGAAAUGAAUAGGUAAUUGAA